ACGCUAAUUGUCUCCAUUCAUUGAAAUGCAUAUAAUUGAAAACAAAGAAACAAAUGAAUAGAGACAGCCGUGUCCGUACAGUUGCUAUGACACGAAGGGGGACAUUAAAUACAAUAUCAUUAAUAGAUUUACGAAUUUAAGUACAUAUUUUCCCAUGUUUGUGCUCUGCAUGGAGCAGUGUAAUGCCUCUGCCUACGUCAAACCUGUAUACAGAUUGUGUCACACAUGUAAUUUGUUUUUACAGACAAAAUAUACGUCACUGGUGGAUAUUCUAAAUUUUAUAAUUAUUUGAACACGGUGGAAGUGUAUGACCCAGUCACCAACCAAUGGACGCUCGUUGCAAAAUUGCAUUCUGGACGUGUAGGUCAUUCUUGCGCCGUCUUCCAUGACAGUCUGUACGUCCUAGGAGGAUAUUAUAAUGGUCAAGUCAAGCUCAGUACCGAAAAGUAUGACGCAGCAAAAAACACGUGGACCGAGAUGACUGAUAAGUGCGGCUCACGUGGCUACUCAGAAGCAGAAGUGAUCGACGAUAUGAUCUUUGUCAUCGGUGAAGGUCAAGACGUGGACACCAACUUCAGUGCCAGAUGUUUCAAUGACAAGAAAAAUGAAUGGUACCAGGCGACAGAAAGUAAUGUUUAUAGAUUCGGGAUGUCGAUUUGUGUCGUGAAGAACCUACCGAAUUCAAAAGAUUACGCCUACAAACACAGGGACAAAUUAAUGGAGGAGAAACG